GUUGGCUGCUGUGAGGACAAGGAAGAGUCAGGGCCUGGAGGAGCUGCCUGCAAGAAACAUCCAGGAGAACAGAAUGAAAGUGAACCAACUUCAGGCUUUGCUGAGUGACAGCCUUGCCAGCACAAAAAGCAUGUGGAAAAUGCAGUUAUCAUUGGUAUAAAGCCAAGUCUCUGCAUCGACCUUUGGCUUUAUUGUGAGAGAUCAAGAGCUUCCUGGGAAGUGACAGCAGAGGUGGAAACUCUGUGAAAUCAGAGCACAAAGCAGAAAUAAUGGCAGGGAGCACAGCACUCUACUAAAUCCAUUUGUUCUCUCAGCCUCAGAGCCCCGUGCUGGGGUACAGCUCAGCUGAUUUGCAAGGUGAUUGCUAAUUUCACAUCUUUGAUUUUUUGGAACAAAGAUGCCAUUUAAGUGGUGUUUUGAAGAUCUUUUUGACCACUUUGUGCUCAGUGAUCCUGACUGUAAAGCAGAUGGAUGUAGGUCCAUUCUCUGGCCCUGGCAGAUGUACUGGAAUGGAAUGAGGUGUGCCCAUACAAUAACACCAAAGCUGUGGCUGAACUGGGAUGCUGGUUGGGAACACAGAUCUAGAUUCAAUACCAGGGACUGUUAUAGAAAUAUUUUCUGCCUAAUUCUGGAGAAACAGUGCAGUGAAAGCACCUGUAGCUGCCAAGUUACUAUCACUGAUACAGCACAUGAAACAAGCCCAUUCUUCUAUCCACUGACAGCUCUGUCUGUGCCCGGAAUCACGGCUGGAAAAGACCUAAAGAUCAUGGAGUCCAGCCAUUAACCCAGCACUGCCAAGCCCAGCACUAAACCGUGUCUGUCAGUGUCACAUUUACAGAUCUUUCAAGUACCUCCAGGGAUGGUGACUCUGGGCAGUCUGUUCCAGUGUUUUACAGCCCUUUUGGUGAAGAAAUUGUUUCUAAAAUCCAAUCUGAACCUCCGCUUAUGCAAUGUGAGGUCAUCUCAUCUUGUUCUAUCACUUGUAACUUGAGAGAAGAGCCCAACCCUCACCAGGCUUCACCCUCCUGUCAGCUGUACAGAGAGAGAAGGGUUUCCCCCUGAGCCUCCUUUUCCCCAGGCUGAGCCCCUUUCCCAGCUCCCUCAGCUGCUGCUCCUCAGACCUGUGCUCCAGAGCCUUCGCCAGCUCUGUUCCCCUCCCUGGACACGCUUCAGCCCCUCAAUGUCCUUCCUGAGCUGAGGGCCCAGAAGUGGGCCAAGUCCUCAAGGUGACCUCAGCCAUGCCCAGCACAGGGCACAGUCACUGCCCUGGCCCUGCUGCCUAACCAGGGCUGGUACAGCCCAGGUGCCUUUGGCCUUCUUGGCCACCUGGGCACACCUGGGCCAUGUUCAGCUGCUGUCCCCAGCACCCCCAGGUCCUUUUUCACUGAACACCUUUCCAGCCACUCUGCCCCAACCUGUGGCAGUGCAGGGGUUGUUAUGAACCAAGUGCAGGACCCAGCACUUGGCUUUGUUGAACCUCAAACAAUUGACCUCAGCCCAUGGAUCCAGCCUGUCCAGAUCCCUCUGCAGAGCCUUCCCACUCUCCAGCAGAUCAACACUCAGAUUGGUGCUGUCUGGAAACCUUCAGAGGAUGGACUCGGUCCCCUCCUCCAAACCAUCAAUAAAGACAUUCAAAAGAGCUGGCCCCCACAAAAGAGUGCAGAGCCUGGGGGAAUGGGAUUUAUUAAAUCUAACAGCAAGGCUUUCCCCUAUAAUCUAACUUCAGACUGGCUCUAUCUUAUUUUUUUCAGCAGGACGACACACAGAGCUGGAGCAGAUCCAAAAGGCACCGUUGUCUGCCUGGCUGGCUCAGUAAUAAAUUCAGGAGCCAUAUCAUAUUUGAUCAGACUACUUUAGAGAGAAAGGUAGCUGAAUCAACAGAAAAUUUGGACUUCAUCAACCUCAAGAGUGCUCAUUAAGAAAUAAAGUACAGAAGUUCAAAGCUUUAAAUAAGAAACUGCUGCUUUACAACAUUACAGCUGCUGAACUCCCUUCUGUUUUUUCAAGAACAAUUGUGGCCUUGCUUCUCAUAAAAGGACUACCCUAUGCAUUUGCACUCUAUGUUUCUUAACAGAAUUGAAAAUGAUGUCUUCGCUAUUUGGUUCAAGAUGUUGUGCUUUAUCUUUCUAAUGCUGUAUUUUAGCCUGCUUCCAGAUAACAUAGUUACUAAUCUCACUACACACAGUAAGUUCUCUAAUGGCAUUAUAGCUACACAGGGGCCACAGACCCAAGGGACAAAGGAAAUUGCUAAACUAACACUUUCCAGACUGUCCUGUACAUCCUUGAAUAAUAAAAUAAUAAAACAUAUUUUUAUCAUGUGAAUUUGCAUUGUCAAUGACUGCAAGAGAAAGUUAUUUUAAACUGCAGUGGAUUGCAAAGUCCUCUGAGGACAGUGGAGGAGGGAAAAUGCCAGUACUGGCACUGAAUCAGGCUGUGUGCACUGUAGACCAGGCUCCAUGAUCUUUCCAUCUUCAGAAACGCAUCAAUUAUUAGCUCUUCAAGUCAUGUGAGAACAAAUGAAUUUUAUCUAUACUUGAUUUGUUCCA